rnacentral:lncRNA from 1 species
AUGCCUUAUUACACUGAGUUGUUAGAGAGAGAAAAGGAAGGUAUUGCAGGUAUACUGUCAGAUGUGGUCACCCAAAGACAGAACAUGGAAAAUCAGUGGAAGCAAGGGUUUGAGUUGGAAAAACAAGAUCUUGAAAAACUGAAAGCAGUGCUGAAGCAAGAGAGAGAGGAUCUGGACAGAGUGAAUGAGAUCAUGAACAAAGAAGGAUUGGACUUAGAGCUGAUGAGAUCUGAAAUUCAGGAACAAAGUAAAUUAUUAGAAAAGGAGAAAAAGGAGAUAAAAGAGGGAAGACACAAGUUGGACAUCACAAAAGCUGAGCUAGAAAAGAAGAAAGAACAUGCAGACAGUCUGUUUGAUGAGAUAGACACAGAGAAGGCCAACAUUAAACAUCUGACCCUUCAAGUUCAGACAAAAAGAAACAAACUUGAACGUGUCAUGAACAUGAUUACCUUGAAACAACAAGAACAAGAACUCAAGGAAGAUGAGUUAACAAAACGAAAACAAGAACUGGUAAUGAGUAAGAACACUGUGCUAAAAGAAAGAGGAGAACUGGAUGUUUUGAGGAAGGAUCUGAACAAAAAGAAAGAAGAGGUUGAAGCUGCCAUGAACAGCAUCACUAGAGAGAGAGAACAACUCAGUAAAAUGAAGACUGACAAUGAGAAAGAGAAAGAAAUGAUUUUAAUUGAAAAGGACAGAAUAGAAGGCCAAUGCUCUGAACUGAAGAUGAGACAAGAUCAACUCGUGAAUGAAAUGAAAUCAAUACAAACUCUAAGAAGGAAGCUUCAACAGCUUAACGAAAGGAUCAUUGAAGACAUGAAAAACAAAAUGGACAAUUUGCAACAAAGGUCUGAAGAUGUGCAAAUGCUGUACACUGUAUUGGAAGAAAAGGUGGCAGACCUUGAUGGUGAAAAAGAAAAAAUGGCUUAUUACACUGAGUUGUUAGAGAGAGAAAAGGAAGUUAUUGCAGGUAUACUGUCAGAUGUGGUCACCCAAAGACAGGACAUGGAAAAUCAGUGUAAGCAAGGGUUUGAGUUGGAAAAACAAGAUCUUGAAAAACUGAAAGCAAUGCUGAAGCAAGAGAGAGGGGAUCUGGAUAGAGUGCAUGAGAUCAUGACCAAAGAAAGAUUGGACUUAGAGCUGAUGAGAUCUGAAAUUCAGGAACAAAGUAAAUUAUUAGAAAAGGAGAAAAAGGAGAUAAAAGAGGGAAGACACAAGUUGGACAGCACAAAAGCUGAGCUAGAAAAGAAGAAAGAACAUGCAGACAGUCUGUUUGAUGAGAUAGACACAGAGAAGGCCAACAUUAAACAUCUGACCCUUCAAGUUCAGACAAAAAGAAACCAACUUGAACAUGUCAUGAACAUGAUAACCUUAAAACAACAAGAACAAGAACUCAAGGAAGAUGAGUUAACAAAACGAAAACAAGAACUGGUAAUGAAUAAGAACACUGUGCUAACAGAAAGAGGAGAGCUGGAUGUUUUGAGGAAGGAUCUGAACAAAAAGAAAGAAGAGGUUGAAGCUGCCAUGAACAGCAUCACUAGAGAGAGAGAACAACUCAGUAAAAUGAAGACUGACAAUGAGAAAGAGAAAGAAAUGAUUUUAAUUGAAAAGGACAGAAUAGAAGUCCAAUGCUCUGAACUGAAGAUGAGACAAGAUCAACUCGUAAAUGAAAUGAAAUCAAUACAAACUCUGAGAAGGAAGCUUCAACAGCUUAACGAAAGGAUCAUUGAAGACAUGAAAAACAAAAUGGACAAUUUGCAACAAAGGUCUGAAGAUGUGCAAAUGCUGUACACUGUAUUGGAAGAAAAGGUGGCAGACCUUGAUGGUGAAAAAGAAAAAAUGGCUUAUUACACUGAGUUGUUAGAGAGAGAAAAGGAAGUUAUUGCAGGUAUACUGUCAGAUGUGGUAACCCAAAGACAGGACAUGGAGAAUCAGUGUAAGCAAGGGUUUGAGUUGGAAAAACAAGAUCUUGAAAAACUGAAAGCAGUGCUGAAGCAAGAGAGAGAGGAUCUGGAUAGAGUGCAUGAGAUCAUGACCAAAGAGAGACUGGAGCUAGAAACCAGUAAGAACAGUGUCCUUACAGAAAGAGGAGAACUGGAAGUUUUGGGGAAGGAUCUCAAAAAGAAGAAAGAAGAGGUCGACAUUGCCAUGAACAGCAUCAGUGGAGAGAGAGAACAACUCAGUAAAAUUAAGACUGACAAUGACAAAGAGAGAGAAGUACUUUUGAUUGAAAGGGACAGAAUAGAACUUGAAAGGUCUGAGGUGAAAAUAAAAGAAGAACAAGUCAUGAAGCAAAUGAAAUCAAUGGAAACUAUGAAAGUGAAGCUUCAGCGGCUGUACAAUAGGAUCAGUGAAGACAUGAAAAACAAAGUGGACAGUUUGCAACAAAACUGUGAAGGUGCGCAAAUUCUGUAUGCUACAUUGGAACAAAAGGUUGCAGCACUUGAUGGAGAAAAAGAAAAAUUGACUAAUUACACUGAGUUGUUAGAGAGAGAAAAGGAAGGUAUUGCAGGUAUACUGUCAGAUGUGGUCACCCAGAGACAGGGCAUGGAAAAUCAGUGUAAGCAAGGGUUUGAGUUGGAAAAACAAGAUCUUGAAAAACUGAAAGCAGUGCUGAAGCAAGAGAGAGAGGAUCUGGAUAGAGUGCAUGAGAUCAUGACCCAAGAGAGACUGGAGCUAGAAACCAGUAAGAACAGUGUCCUUACAGAAAGAGGAGAACUGGAAGUUUUGGGGAAGGAUCUCAAAAAGAAGAAAGAAGAGGUCGACAUUGCCAUGAACAGCAUCAGUGGAGAGAGAGAACAACUCAGUAAAAUGAAGACUGACAAUGACAAAGAGAGAGAAGUACUUUUGAUUGAAAGCGACAGAAUAGAAGUUGAAAGGUCUGAGGUGAAAAUAAAAGAAGAUCAAGUCAUGAAGCAAAUGAAAUCAAUGGAAACUAUGAAAGUGAAGCUUCAGCAACUGUACAAUAGGAUCAGUGAAGACAUGAAAAACAAAAUGGACAGUUUGCAACAAAACUGUGAAGGUGCGCAAAUUCUGUAUGCUACAUUGGAAGAAAAGGUUGCAGCACUUGAUAGAGAAAAAGAAAAAAUGGCUUAUUACACUGAGUUGUUAGAGAGAGAAAAGGAAGGUAUUGCAGCACUUGAUAUAGAAAAAGAAAAAAUGGCUUAUUACACUGAGUUGUUAGAGAGAGAAAAGGAAGGUAUUGCAGGUAUACUGUCAGAUGUGGUCACCCAGAGACAGGGCAUGGAAAAUCAGUGUAAGCAAGGGUUUGAGUUGGAAAAACAAGAUCUUGAAAAACUGAAAGCAGUGCUGAAGCAAGAGAGAGGGGAUCUGGAUAGAGUGCAUGAGAUCAUGACCAAAGAAAGAUUGGACUUAGAGCUGAUGAGAUCUGAAAUUCAGGAACAAAGUAAAUUAUUAGAAAAGGAGAAAAAGGAGAUAAAAAGAGGGAAGACACAAGUUGGACAGCACAAAAGCUGAGCCAGAAAAGAAGAAAGAACAUGCAGACAGUCUGUUUGAUGAGAUAGACACAGAGAAGGCCAACAUUAAACAUCUGACCCUUCAAGUUCAGACAAAAAGAAACCAACUUGAACAUGUCAUGAACAUGAUAACCUUAAAACAACAAGAACAAGAACU